CAAUAGCGUAUAUUAAAGUUGUUGCAGUUAAAAAGCUCGUAGUUGGAUUUCUGGUUGAAGCGACCGGUCGGGCGUUGAUUCGUCUGCACUGGAGUCGGUUUUGGCCAUCCUCUAGGAAAGUGCGUCUGGUAUUAAGUUAUCGGGCGUAUGAUCCUGGUCUUUUACUGUGAAAAAAUUAGAGUGUUUAAAGCAGGCCUUCGCCUUGAAUACAUUAGCAUGGAAUAAUAAGAUAGGACUUUGGUCUAUUUUGUUGGUUUGCAGACCGAAGUAAUGGUUAAUAGGGAUAGUUGGGGGUAUUUAUAUUCCGAUGUCAGAGGUGAAAUUCUUAGAUUUUCGGAAGAUAAACUUAUGCGAAAGCAUUUACCAAGGAUGUUUUCAUUAA
rnacentral:rRNA from 1 species